GACGAACGCUGGCGGCGUGCCUAAUACAUGCAAGUUGAGCGAUGAAGAUUGGUGCUUGCACCAAUUUGAAGAGCAGCGAACGGGUGAGUAACGCGUGGGGAAUCUGCCUUUGAGCGGGGGACAACAUUUGGAAACGAAUGCUAAUACCGCAUAACAACUUUAAACAUAAGUUUUAAGUUUGAAAGAUGCAAUUGCAUCACUCAAAGAUGAUCCCGCGUUGUAUUAGCUAGUUGGUGAGGUAAAGGCUCACCAAGGCGAUGAUACAUAGCCGACCUGAGAGGGUGAUCGGCCACAUUGGGACUGAGACACGGCCCAAACUCCUACGGGAGGCAGCAGUAGGGAAUCUUCGGCAAUGGACGAAAGUCUGACCGAGCGACGCCGCGUGAGUGAAGAAGGUUGUCGGAUCGUAAAACUCUGUUGGUAGAGAAGAACGUUGGUGAGAGUGGAAAGCUCAUCAAGUGACGGUAACUACCCAGAAAGGGACGGCUAACUACGUG
rnacentral:rRNA from 1 species